CUAAAUAUUGGGCAAUAUUAUUGAAAAAUAAUGGCGCAAAGCUAUGGGUCUAAGGAAAUUGACAUCUAUGACUGCCAGGUUGCUUUU
rnacentral:ncRNA from 1 species